UGGGGAAUCUUGCACAAUGGGCGAAAGCCUGAUGCAGCAACGCCGCGUGCGGGAAGACAGCCCUAGGGUUGUAAACCGCUUUCAGCAGGGAAGAAACUGACGGUACCUGCAGAAGAAGAUGCGGCCAACUACGUGCCAGCAGCCGCGGUGACACGUAGGCAUCAAGCGUUAUCCGGAUUUAUUGGGCGUAAAGAGCUCGUAGGCGGUUCGGUAAGUCGGGUGUGAAAACUCUGGGCUCAACCCAGAGAGGCCACUCGAUACUGCUGUGACUAGAGUGCGGUAGGGGAGCGGGGAAUUCCUGGUGUAGCGGUGAAAUGCGCAGAUAUCAGGAGGAACACCAGUGGCGAAGGCGCCGCUCUGGGCCGUAACUGACGCUGAGGAGCGAAAGCAUGGGUAGCAAACAGGAUUAGAUACCCUGGUAGUCCAUGCCGUAAACGUUGGGCACUAGGUGUGGGUCUCAACCAACGAGAUCCGCGCCGUCGCUAACGCAUUAAGU
rnacentral:rRNA from 1 species